rnacentral:rRNA from 1 species
UACGUAGGUGGCAAGCGUUGUUCGGAAUUAUUGGGCGUAAAGGGCUCGUAGGCGGUCUGUUGCGUCAGGAGUGAAAACUCGGGGCUUAACCCCGAGCCUGCUUCUGAUACGGGCAGACUAGAGGUAUGCAGGGGAGAACGGAAUUCCUGGUGUAGCGGUGAAAUGCGCAGAUAUCAGGAGGAACACCGGUGGCGAAGGCGGCACUCUGGGCCAGUACUGACGCUGAGGAGCGAAAGCGUGGGGAGCGAACAGG